GGGAGCGGGGCGUCUCCAGCCGGUGUGCGGCGCGGGCGCGAGGCGGCCUGGGACGUGGGUGCCCCGCGCCUCGGGCCCUCCCCAGCUCUCUCCAAGCUCGCGCCUGAUGAGGUGGUGGAAGGCGCUCCGGGGACGCAAAGAAGCUCUGGACCGGUUGGAGGCUUUUGACUGAGCAUCCAGUUAGGAAUCGCACAGCCAGGGAAUGAAGGGGUUCACGUAGUCACGUGCUUUAUUCGCCAGCAGCCCACUGGUCUUCAGUUACUGGUCCUGGGUUCCUGAGUCCCACGAGGCAAACCCAAGAACAGGGUAUUUCUUCCCAUGAUCCUCUAAAAAAGCCGACAAGAAGGGAAUCCAAACCACAAAGUAAAUGGCAUUAUAAUGAAGCCAAGUUCUGAGGAUGCGGACCCUUGGUAAAUCUCUGGCCACCAAGUCCCAGCAGUCUCCCUGUCAGGUGCCCAGCAAUUACUAGUGAACUUCACACACAUCCAUAAGAAACUGCCUCGUGGCCCGGCGAGAUGGCUCCGAGCUUAAGAGGAUGCCCCGUUCUUGCCGAGGAACUUUAGGGUUCCCAGCACUCCCGAUGGACAGCUUACCGCUCCCGCCCGGUAACUUAUCCUUCAGCUCCAGGGGAUCUGACCUGCUCCUCCAGUCUCAGGCACCUGCACAGGCUUGCACAGAGUAGCACACACUACACACAAUAAAUCUUUUUUAAAAGUAAACAUUUCAUGCAGUUUUGUAGUAUAUGCAUUUUAUAGAUAUGUAUCAGAGAAUCUUCAUUAACUAUCUUAAAAUGUACUAAAAUGCUCUAGUUACACAUCAGCAUGAGGUUCAAUUUUUUUAUGAAGAUCAACUGGACAAUAUGCAAGACAUUAAAGAUAGGAGCAGGUGUAUUUG